rnacentral:hammerhead_ribozyme from 1 species
GAACUGCUGAGGAGUCUCAUAAUAGGACGAAACGGCCGUCCAGUGC